UUUCUUUUUUUAUUUGCAGGUGAGGAUGUGAGGUGGCGUUCAAAGGUUGUCAAGGGGUUGUGAGGAGCUAUAGGGCUCAAGUUCGAGGUUGAAGAUUAGAAACCGAAGGUUGAAGAUCAGAUUUGGGAUUAGAUGAGUCGCUGGUACAACUGACGUCGUCGUGGUGUAGGUCAGAUGAGUCGCCGGAGUCCAGGCCAACUAACAGUGUCGCUGGAGUUUCGGGAAGCUAACGAUGUCAUCAAUUCGAGUGCAGGUGAUGUGCCGAUUAUUGAUUUUGGAUCAAUUACUAACUGUUUGCCAUUUUCUUUCUAGAAAAUCAAUGUAGUGUCUGCUUCUUAAUCUUGUUCUCUAUGAGUACCAUUGUUACCGUCUCUGGUAAAAACAUCUAACCAUAUGCCAGAUUCGUUCAUUCAGGUUCUCCUCUUCUCCUUUACGUCCCUAAACUUCUUUUCAAUCAACACAAUUAAGUUUUUACUGCCCACUAAGUGUUUGAUUAUUUGCUUCACUGAGUAUUGCAAUAUUUGAUUAUCAAAUCAAGGCCCCUGUCUCAUCUUGUGUAAUCCAUUUUUGAUACUAGUAUUGUUGUUGUAUGUUAAAAGGCUACAAAAGUACCUGUUAAAGAGUAUGAGUUUGAUGAAAAGAAGAUGGCAAAUGUGCAGUCUCAUCUGGAAAAAUUGGUUGCCAAUAACUAUUACUUGAACAGGUCUCCAAAAGAUGCGUACAGAUAAAUAUAUUAUUCAUGAAGUGAAGGCAAGAAUAGUUGAAUGGUAUAUGAUUAUGAACAGGGGCAAAUGCGUAAAAUAAAUAAUGAUUCUUUUUAUUAUGGAUGGUGCACAGGACAAGGGCAGGCUGGUCAAGACUGGAAGCUUUACACAUUCAUAUCCAUUUUGUUGAAGAUCUGAUACCCCUCUUAUCUACAGAGCAGUUCCCAUGAUGAGCAGUUGCUUGAAGCAGCUUGGUGUCUUACAAACAUAGCUGCUGGAAAACCUAAAGAAACAAGAGCUUAAUUGCCUGCAUUACCUUUACUCAUUGCUCAAAUUGGAGGUUAGUGUUAAGUAC